CUUUCCCUCUGGCGGCAUGCUUUACACAUGCAAGUCGAACGGUAACAGGCCUUCGGGUGCUGACGAGUGGCGAACGGGUGAGUAAUGCAUCGGAACGUGCCCAGAGGUGGGGGAUAACGCAGCGAAAGCUGUGCUAAUACCGCAUGUGAUCUGAGGAUGAAAGCGGGGGACCAGGCAGCAAUGUUUGGCCUCGCGCCUUUGGAGCGGCCGAUGUCAGAUUAGGUAGUUGGUGGGGUAAAGGCCUACCAAGCCGACGAUCUGUAGCUGGUCUGAGAGGACGACCAGCCACACUGGGACUGAGACACGGCCCAGACUCCUACGGGAGGCAGCAGUGGGGAAUUUUGGACAAUGGGCGCAAGCCUGAUCCAGCAAUGCCGCGUGCGGGAAGAAGGCCUUCGGGUUGUAAACCGCUUUUGUACGGAACGAAAAGGCUCUGGCUAAUACCUGGUGCUGAUGACGGUACCGAAAGAAUAAGCACCGGCUAACUACGUG
rnacentral:rRNA from 1 species